CUUUCCGCGCGCGGGGGGGGCGCAGAGGCGCAGGCGCUCGGUCUGCCACGGGCCCGGUGGGGUGAGGAAGGUCUGGGGUCCCCUCAGGCGGGCGAGGCCGCAGCCGCCCAGGGCUUUGAGGAGGGGGCCGGCGCAUUUCGCCCCCUCAGGCGGGCGGCUUGUGCUGCGGGGGGGCCGGGGCGCGGGCAGGCGGCGCUGGCCCAGGAGGGCUCUUGUGGGUCGGGCCCGGCCGCUCUCCGCGGGCCGCCCUUCCCGCGCCAUGUUGCAGCGGGGCUUCCUCAGGGCGGGCCCUGGCGGCGGCCGGUCGCGCCUCUGCCCCGGCGCCGCAGGCGGGGAGGCUGCGGCGUGAGGAGAUGGCCGCCGGGCCAGGAGGCGGCUGCGGCGUGAGGAGAUGGCCGCCGGGCCAGGAGGCGGCAGCCUGGCAGAAGACAAAAGGUGAAGUUUAAAAGAUUGUGAGCCUUAUAAAAUCGAGGAGAAAGCUGUGUGACGUGGCAGAGUGGCAGACCCAGGAGGUCGUCUCAAAGCCCCGAGGUCUUUUUCCUUCCUAGAGUUAUUUCUGAGAACAGGACUGACUUCUGGAACUUGCUUCAAAUGUUGAAGAUCAUGCCUUGCUUCCUAGAAUUUCUGGCAAACCUAGCUACUAGAGCAAAAGAAAUGGUUGGCAGCAUCUGCAGUUGAAGAUCUGUAGAUUCCUACAAGUUCAUCUUUCCUCAUGUGGAUUCAAGCAUGCUACAGCCAAAGUGCAUGCAGUGCUGCUCAUGGUUCUGAAUGUUUGCUGCAACUUGUGUCUUUAAAUGUCCAUUAAAAAAAAAUAUAACCAUUCUGCUGCAAGUGUCCUUUCUGCUUGUGCUGUGCUGCUGUGGGAUAGCUGUAAGAGUUGUCUUCCUGCCCUUUUCCCAGCCAUCUCGGCUUGUACGCUGUUUUCACAGCCAUGUUCUGAAGCACUGUUGUUUCAGUCUGCGCUUUCUGUACAUGGUUAAGAAGGAUUUAAAAAAGAAAACCACCCCUAAAUAAAGAUGCCACCUACAAUAAGUCUGAAA